UUUGGAGGGCAAGUCUGGUGCCAGCAGCCGCGGUAAUUCCAGCUCCAAUAGCGUAUAUUAAAGUUGUUGCAGUUAAAAAGCUCGUAGUUGAAUUUCGGGAUCAAUAUUUCGGUCAUGCCGUUGGUAUGCACUGUUAUCAUUGAUUUCUCACCUUCUAAAGAACCGUAAUGCCAUUAAUUUGGUGUUACGGGGAAUUAGGACUGUUACCUUGAAAAAAUUAGAGUGUUUAAAGCAGGCAA
rnacentral:rRNA from 1 species